rnacentral:rRNA from 1 species
GUGGUUAAAAAGCUCGUAGUUGGAUCUCGGCGGUCUGAGGGCGGUUCGCUUGAUUGAGUGCUACUGCUCUAUAGGCCGUGGUUUUGCCAGAGGUCUCGGGGUGCUCUUAACCGAGUGUCCUGCGAUGCUGGCAGGUUUACUUUGAAAAAAUUAGAGUGCUCAAAGCAGGCCUUUACGCCUGAAUAUUCGUGCAUGGAAUAAUAGAAUAGGAAGUCGUUUCUAUUUUGUUGGUUUUCGGAAAUCGACUUAAUGAUUAAUAGGGACAGUCGGGGGCAUUUGUAUUCAAACGACAGAGGUGAAAUUCUUGGACCGUUUGAAGACAAACUACUGCGAAAGCAUUUGCCAAGAAUGUUUUCAUUAAUCAAGAACGAAAGUUAGAGGUUCGAAGGCGAUUAGAUACCGCCCUAGUUCUAACCAUAAACGAUGCCAGCUAGCGAUCUGCCGACGUUCUCUUUGUAGACUCGGCAGGAAGCUUCCGGGAAACCAAAGCAUUUGGGUUCCAGGGGAAGUAUGGUUGCAAAGCUGAAACUUAAAGGAAUUGACGGAAGGGCACCACCAGGAGUGGAGCCUGUGGCUUAAUUUGACUCAACACGGGAAAUCUCACCAGGCCCGGACACUGGAAGGAUUAACAGAUUGAUAGCU